CUUUCUAUUUGAUGUGACUUGGACAGGGACCAUUUCCAAAAGCUACAGUACAGACUUCUUGCAAAACAAAUGUUUUCCAAAUACAGGAUUUUGACAGACAUUUGAAACUCGCAUAAUGAUACCAUAUUUAAGGAAACAUAGAUGGGGCUGUAGCGUUGGCAGUCAACACAAAUGCCAUUGGCUUUGCAGUGUAGCACUGGCAACUAACAUAGUUUUAGAGAACACCGCUGCAGUGCAGGUUGACAACAAUCGGGCACAACAAAGAUCAAUGAGACGGCGGUCAACCAACCACGUCAACAAGCAACGCCAGCAAAAAACAAAACAAGAUUUUUUUCAGAUCAGUCAUGGCUGCCCGCUAAAACUAAAGAAUGCUUAAGCAUCCCUGUGAGAGGAGCUUGUGUGAGAUUGCAAACCAAGCGCUGUCACCUCCGCGCCUACAAAUAUCGCACAGUACACUACUGUCCUAAUGUUUCAUACAAAGCUGCAUUUUAAAAUUUCUAAUUCAGUAACAAUAAAUUCCCAUUUUAGUUUAUGUUUAAAAAAUAUUCAAUCUGAUAUAACAUUCCCUUAAAUUAUGCAACUGGGCCUCCUUGGUUUUUGUUCCUAUGAAUUCACAUUUAUAUUUUUAUCAUGAACACGUCCCAUUAAUGUAGUGGAAAAUAAAAUGGGGAAUGGGGUUCAGGGUCUGUGGCUGUAAAUAUGGGUGAGUCAUUGGCUACCAGGUUUUCUUCAGGACCUGUUUGCUGCACAGUCAGUGUUAGUUCUUUUAUGAGAAUAAAAAAGAAAAUCAAAGUU